GGCAGCGCAGGUAGCAAUACUGGGCGGCGACCGGCAAACGGGUGCGGAACACGUACACAACCUUCCGAGAAGUGGGGAAUAGCCCAGAGAAAUUUGGAUUAAUACCCCGUAACAUAACGAUGUGGCAUCACAUUGUUAUUAUAGCUUCGGCGCUUCUUGAUGGGUGUGCGGCUGAUUAGAUAGUUGGCGGGGUAACGGCCCACCAAGUCUACGAUCAGUAGCUGAUGUGAGAGCAUGAUCAGCCACACGGGCACUGAGACACGGGCCCGACUCCUACGGGAGGCAGCAGUAAGGAAUAUUGGUCAAUGGACGCAAGUCUGAACCAGCCAUGCCGCGUGAAGGAUUAAGGUCCUCUGGAUUGUAAACUUCUUUUAUCUGGGACGAAAAAAGGCGAUUCUUCGUCACUUGACGGUACCAGAUGAAUAAGCACCGGCUAACUCCGUGCCAGCAGCCGCGGUAAUACGGAGGGUGCAAGCGUUAUCCGGAUUCACUGGGUUUAAAGGGUGCGUAGGCGGGCAGGUAAGUCAGUGGUGAAAUCCUAGAGCUUAACUCUAGAACUGCCAUUGAUACUAUCUGUCUUGAAUAUUGUGGAGGUAAGCGGAAUAUGUCAUGUAGCGGUGAAAUGCUUAGAUAUGACAUAGAACACCUAUUGCGAAGGCAGCUUACUACGCAUAUAUUGACGCUGAGGCACGAANNCGUGGGGAUCAAACAGGAUUAGAUACCCUGGUAGUCCACGCCCUAAACGAUGAUUACUCGACAUUUGUGAUACACUAUAANNNNNNG
rnacentral:rRNA from 1 species